rnacentral:rRNA from 1 species
AGCAGCCGCGGUAAUUCCAGCUCCAAUAGCGUAUAUUAAAGUUGUUGCAGUUAAAAAGCUCGUAGUUGAAUUUCAGGCCUGGCUGGGCGGUCCGCCCUUCGGGUGAGUACUGCCUGUGGUCGGGUCCUACCUUCUGGCGAAGCGUCAUGGCCUUCACCGGCCGUGGCGGGGAACCAGGACUUUUACUGUGAAAAAAUUAGAGUGUUCAAAGCAGGCAAUCGCUUGGAUACAUUAGCAUGGAAUAAUGGAAUAGGACAGUGGUUCUAUUUGUUGGUUUCUAGGACCGUUGUAAUGAUUAAUAGGGAUAGUUGGGGGCAUUAGUAUUCAAUUGUCAGAGGUGAAAUUCUUGGAUUUAUUGAAGACUAACUACUGCGAAAGCAUUUGCCAAGGAUGUCUUCAUUAAUCAAGAACGAAAGUUAGGGGAUCGAAGACGAUCAGAUACCGUCGUAGUCUUAACCAUAAACUAUGCCGACUAGGAAUCGGGCGAUGUUGACAAAAUGACGCGCUCGGCACCU